CAGCCCCGUACACAAAAAUGCACAUGCUGUGAGCUCGAUGAGUAGGGCGGGACACGUGGUAUCCUGUCUGAAUAUGGGGGGACCAUCCUCCAAGGCUAAAUACUCCUGACUGACCGAUAGUGAACCAGUACCGUGAGGGAAAGGCGAAAAGAACCCCGGCGAGGGGAGUGAAAAAGAACCUGAAACCGUGUACGUACAAGCAGUGGGAGCACGCUUAGGCGUGUGACUGCGUACCUUUUGUAUAAUGGGUCAGCGACUUAUAUUCUGUAGCAAGGUUAACCGAAUAGGGGAGCCGAAGGGAAACCGAGUCUUAACUGGGCGUUAAGUUGCAGGGUAUAGACCCGAAACCCGGUGAUCUAGCCAUGGGCAGGUUGAAGGUUGGGUAACACUAACUGGAGGACCGAACCGACUAAUGUUGAAAAAUUAGCGGAUGACUUGUGGCUGGGGGUGAAAGGCCAAUCAAACCGGGAGAUAGCUGGUUCUCCCCGAAAGCUAUUUAGGUAGCGCCUCGUGAAUUCAUCUCCGGGGGUAGAGCACUGUUUCGGCAAGGGGGUCAUCCCGACUUACCAACCCGAUGCAAACUGCGAAUACCGGAGAAUGUUAUCACGGGAGACACACGGCGGGUGCUAACGUCCGUCGUGAAGAGGGAAACAACCCAGACCGCCAGCUAAGGUCCCAAAGUCAUGGUUAAGUGGGAAACGAUGUGGGAAGGCCCAGACAGCCAGGAUGUUGGCUUAGAAGCAGCCAUCAUUUAAAGAAAGCGUAAUAGCUCACUGGUCGAGUCGGCCUGCGCGGAAGAUGUAACGGGGCUAAACCAUGCACCGAAGCUGCGGCAGCGACGCUUAUGCGUUGUUGGGUAGGGGAGCGUUCUGUAAGCCUGUGAAGGUGUGCUGUGAGG
rnacentral:rRNA from 1 species